CCCAAAUGGCGAUCAGUUCUAGGGCUCCGAAUCAAAACGUAAGCGCUUCGAUUCCGGUUCUUCUUCUGCCUGUUCGUCGAUCCGUUAUAUAGGGUUUCUGUUCUAUAUGACCGAACGAAACAUCCAUAGGAUAUAGCUCGCUCACUCGAGGACAAAAAAAAAAAAAAAAGAUCAAAUUUUUCCCCUUGUUUUAGAUUUAUCUGAGCUAUA
rnacentral:lncRNA from 1 species